UGCCCAAUCAGCGUUGAGCUUGACCCGACGUCACUGGCAGAGAGACGGAGAGGACAGAACAGAAAUGGAGGACCAAAACCUGAUAGUAGCAGUGUGCAGCCGUCCUGUCCUGUACGACACAACGAUGGUGUCGUACAGGGACAGGAACAAAAAAGAGAGGGCGUGGGUCGACGUGGCCGAGGAUACUGGCUUUCCUGACCAGCCCAGCAGUGAGUCAGACCCAGAGGACGCUGAUGCUGCUCCUGCUCCUGCUCCUGCUCCUGCUCCUGCUCCUGCUCCUGCCCCUGUCCCUGUCCCUGCCGCUGGCCCUUCCUGUGUACCUGUCCCUGAGGCUGGCCCUGCCCCAAGACCACAGAGCGGGACGAAGAGGAAGAGAGCCAGGGUACCAGAGGGGAACACAAAUAUGCAGGGAGCCAUCCUCCAGGCCCUGCAGAGGCAAAAUGCUGUGCCUACCCCUACCCCGCUCUCUGGGAAUGAGCACUUUGUCAUGGGCCUAGUUCCUUCCCUGGAGAGAUUGCCACCUGAAGCACUGGAGUACGUUAAAUUCAAAAUUCGUAAGGUCAUAUUUGACAAUUUCACCCUUAAUUUGGAACCUUUUUAAGCCUAUUAGCUAGUGGUGGUGACAAUCUCUCCAGGGAAAGAACUAGGCUGAUGUCACUGUGCUACUGUUAACUGUUAAUUUGUUAUUGUUCUGUUAUGUUUAUAUCAUAUUGUUCUUAUGUUAUUUUUAUUAUUUUUAUUUUUAUUUUUUAAAUAAAAUAUUUCUCACAACUCUUCUC
ensembl:lncRNA